rnacentral:sRNA from 1 species
AUUGUAAUGGCCUGCCGAGAAUUUGAGAUGGGAAGGAAAAAAUGUGAGCGCUAUUGGCCUUUGUAUGGAGAAGACCCCAUAACGUUUGCACCAUUUAAAAUUUCUUGUGAGGAUGAACAAGCAAGAACAGACUACUUCAUCAGGACACUCUUACUUGAAUUUCAAAAUGAAUCUCGUAGGCUGUAUCAGUUUCAUUAUGUGAACUGGCCAGACCAUGAUGUUCCUUCAUCAUUUGAUUCUAUUCUGGACAUGAUAAGCUUAAUGAGGAAGUAUCAAGAACAUGAAGAUGUUCCUAUUUGUAUUCAUUGCAGGUACAAAAGAAUUUCCCAAGUUUAUAAAUACAUUAUUUUUAUUUAAGUUUGAUGUUACACAAGGUUUUAUUUCUGCAUUAAUAUGAUAGUAAUCUUGAAUUUCUCCUAGCCUUGAUAUAAUGUUUGGGACUGGGGCCUUGUAAGUUGAUGUGGUCUCAUUU